rnacentral:rRNA from 1 species
GACGAACGCUGGCGGCACGCCUAACACAUGCAAGUCGAACGGGCUUAAAAGAGCUUGCUUUUUUAAGUUAGUGGCGGAAGGGUGAGUAACACGUGAGCAACCUGCCUCUGAGAGGGGGAUAGCGUCUGGAAACGGAUGGUAAUACCCCAUAAAAUAUAAAUAUCGGAUGAUAGAUAUAUAAAAGAAAUUCGCUCAGAGAUGGGCUCGCGUCUGAUUAGAUAGUUGGUGAGGGAACGGCUCACCAAGUCGACGAUCAGUAGCCGGACUGAGAGGUUGAACGGCCACAUUGGGACUGAGACACGGCCCAGACUCCUACGGGAGGCAGCAGUGGGGAAUAUUGCACAAUGGAGGGAACUCUGAUGCAGCGAUGCCGCGUGGAGGAAGAAGGUUUUCGGAUUGUAAACUCCUUUUAUCAGGGACGAUAAUGACGGUACCUGAAGAAAAAGCUCCGGCUAACUACGUG